GCCUGUGAUGAAUAGUUUUUAAUGGUUGAUUGCAGCAAAUGUGAGGUUUAAUCUUGCAUUAUGUUGAUAUUUUUGUACUAGGACGGUCUGAGGC